UUCAGGAUCUUUAAUGCUCUCUACCCCAUGGCUUUAGAGACUCUGGAACAAGCUUACCACAGUGGCUACAAGGACGCCAUUCAUUUCCUUCUGAGAAAUGAUCUUGCGCCAUAUUUGAUGACGCAAAAAGUAUCCCACGGGUCACUUAACUGUCUGCAAACUAAAACCUGGAUGGAUCUGGAGAUCGCGACAGAGG